rnacentral:lncRNA from 1 species
ACACAUAAAGUAAAAUUAAUACCAACUAUAUCUAAUUCCUUAAGCAUUUAAAGAGCUAAUUGGCAUCAGAUACAUUAAACAAGCAUAGAUCACGCUUCCAUUUCAACUUUUAUUCACAGAUACAUCGAAGUGGUUCAAUGAAGUCUACCUGGAAAUGAAUCAACAGAAAAGAAAUCGAGGAUCAGCAGCAUAGAGUGUAUCAGCAGUUAGUGAGAAUCAAAUCAACAACCAGCUCAAGCUUAACCCAGAAAAAUAUGCAUAAACCAAAACUCAAGCAAAGUUGUAAACCCAGCAGCAACAAAUAAAUCACCCAAACAAACUGAAUGAACAUAGGAAUCGCUUGAAAUCAACUGUGAAUAACCCAGAAACUUCAACCAUACAGCAAGAGAGCCAGGUAGUGAAAUUAUGAACUAGAAUAUCAAAAUUAGCCUAAAAGUCUUUAUUAAACAGUGAUUUUUUCAUUUUUUCUAUUUUUUGUAUGUGUUUUUUUUGUAUUUUUUUAUAUUUGACUGGAGAAACUAACUUGAAGCUUAAAGGAAAAUAAUGGACUGUUCUGGGAAAUUUUAGCUGAAGCCCCCCUUUCACAAGGCAAAAGAUGCAUAUUUAUAGGAGCAAAAAUAGGGAAACAAUCAGAUUUUUUACUUACCCUUUACCCCUCCCUUGAAAUUUUAUUUUUGCUUCUAUAUCCCUAAAGUUAUGACUUGUUCCCCAAGUUAUUCCCUAAGUCUUUUCAGAAAUGUGCACUAAAGCCCUAUUCUAGGAUGUUCUACACCCCUUACAAUUCCUAUACUACCUUUCCUUCAUUUCAGAAUUUACUAUUUUUCAUUAUACUGCCAUAUCUUAUGCCCAAAUUACCCCUAAACAGUCUGAAAAUUACAUCAUAGUUAACUGAUCCAAACCCCCUAACCCCAGUCAAGAAUUACCUAUAUUAACUCAACUAGACUAUUCAUCUAUAACCCAAUUCUAAUCCUUAUUACAAUUCUAAACUAAAGAAUACCAAUUAACAUUAAUUAACAAUCAACAAAUGAAAUCACAAACUGAAAUUAGACCAAAUCAUCAACCUGAACAAACUAUAAUUCUAUUUCAUCAUAGCAGAAGAGAUUUAGACUUUUAUGCUACUAAACCAAUUAACUUUUGAGCAUUCAACUAACAAAAACCAAAAAUCAAAUAAGAAUUUAACAAAAGCAAAAUGAAAAAAUCAUUCUAAAAGUAAAUUAACAUAGAUAAUUACCACAGUGAGAUUAAAAAUAAAUAAAAACUGAAUUUAUGCAAGAAAAAUCGAAUUAGAAAACUUACCGGAAUCACACAUCAUAUAACCCUUUUGCAAUUGAUUUCCAGUUAAUAUUACAAGCUUAUUUUGUCAUUAAUUAGACCUAAUAUUAACUAGAAAUCAGCCGAACUCUAAUACUCUUAAAACAAACUCGAACCGCUAUGAACCCUAGAUUUGAAAUUUGUUAAACUUCAGUGAUAUUCGAGGGUUUUUGGCUUUGAAUUCGUGAAGAGGAAGGUCACGAGACUGUGGGGGAUGAAUUUGACCUGGUUUGGACAAACUUGUAUUUUGGCCGAGGUUUUCAAAUCAAUAUUUGAGCAAUUGUGUGAUGAUUCGAAGAAAACGGUUGGUGUGGUUGUAAAGAAGAGAUUGAAAGGAGUUCAGGGUGUAUUUUUGGGUAGGAUUGGAGGUGGCACCGCCACCCUAAAGCGGUGAAAUUUGGUGGUGGCGGGCUAGGUUUUAGGGAAGGUCUCUGAAGGAGCCAAAGUGAGAGAGAUGAGUUGAGGGGGGGGGGUCUUGUCCGGACACUUAUAUAUAGGAUAUCCUAGGACAUUUUUGUCCGUUAGAUCAAAAUCUAACGGCCUGGAUUGAACCAACAAAACGGCGUCGUUUC